ACGGACUACAAAACACGGAAAAUGCUAUGCUACCCGCUGCAGGCCCACGAUCACGACCACGGCUCAGUCCUCUGGAUAGUUCACGUAAAGGCGAUCUGUCUCCUCGUCGUACUGCCACGCCAGCUGGGCGCCAUCGGGAUCAUCUGCCUCUGGGGUACCUGUACCUGCUGGGAGUUUCGGAGGAAUCCGUGAGCCAUGGGGACUCAGCAAUCUAAGACCUUGGUGCCAGAACUAGUCAUGUUAUUGGGUAAGGAAGGGGUGAAGUGUUUCAGGU
rnacentral:lncRNA from 1 species